GACAACUACGCUCUAGCGGCUUAAUAACCCGCUAAGCCCAUCCCCCGGCGCUUUGUCUGCGAGACCGGACCAGGAUGGCUCAAACUAAUGUAGACUCGCGUGGAGGCUUUGUCCGGAGCUGAAGCGUUAAAACCAAUCGGACUCGUCAGUUGUGAAGCCUGUCAGUCGGCGUCACACUGAUUAACUAAAAGACUGACUAAGCAUGUAGGACCGAGGAUGUAGGUAUUGCGGACGCGGGUUCAACUCCCGCCAGCUCCAC
rnacentral:misc_RNA from 1 species